GACGAACGCUGGCGGUGUGCUUAACACAUGCAAGUCGAACGGUAAGGCCCUUUCGGGGGUACACGAGUGGCGAACGGGUGAGUAACACGUGAGUAACCUGCCCUCAUCUCUGGGAUAACAGUCGGAAACGGUUGCUAAUACUGGAUAUGAGCUUGCAAGGCAUCUUGUGGGUUGGAAAGAUUUUUUUUGGUUGGGGAUGGACUCGCGGCCUAUCAGCUUGUUGGUGAGGUAGUGGCUCACCAAGGCUUCGACGGGUAGCCGGACUGAGAGGGCGACCGGCAACAUUGAGACUGAGAUACGGACCAGACUCCUACGGGGGGCAGCAGUGGGGAAUAUUGCACAAUGGACAGAAGUCUGAUGCAGAAGCACCGCGUGCGGGAUGACGGCCUUCGGGUUGUAAACCGCUUUCAAUUGUGACGAAGCGUUUUUGUGACGGUAGCAGUAGAAGAAGCACCGGCUAACUACGUG
rnacentral:rRNA from 1 species